rnacentral:rRNA from 1 species
AGUGAACGCUGGCGGUAGGCCUAACACAUGCAAGUCGAACGGCAGCACAGGAGAGCUUGCUCUCUGGGUGGCGAGUGGCGGACGGGUGAGGAAUACAUCGGAAUCUACUCUGUCGUGGGGGAUAACGUAGGGAAACUUACGCUAAUACCGCAUACGACCUACGGGUGAAAGCAGGGGAUCUUCGGACCUUGCGCGCGUGAAUGCGCCGAUGUCGGAUUAGCUAGUUGGCGGGGUAAAGGCCCACCAAGGCGACGAUCCGUAGCUGGUCUGAGAGGAUGAUCAGCCACACUGGAACUGAGACACGGUCCAGACUCCUACGGGAGGCAGCAGUGGGGAAUAUUGGACAAUGGGCGCAAGCCUGAUCCAGCCAUACCGCGUGGGUGAAGAAGGCCUUCGGGUUGUAAAGCCCUUUUGUUGGGAAAGAAAUCCAGCUGGCUAAUACCCGGUUGGGAUGAGGGUACCCAAAGAAUAAGCACCGGCUAACUUCGUGCCAGCAGCCGCGGUAAGAC